AGCUAAGUCUCUGGGGGGCCCUGUGCUCCCGUGUGCCACACUCCCGCGAGGUGUGUGCAAGGAUGCGUGCUGUUGCUGCUUCAGGUACCCUGGGUUCUGUCCCCCCGGGCUGCAAGUCGGCUCCUGUGUAGCAGCAGGAAGCCUUCCUGUAGGGGCAGACCUCGGUGGGAUUCGAACCCGUCGACCGCUCACCUGAAGAACGGCCAGCUGGGGAAGGGUUAACCUUGCCUUACCCUGGCCUCCACCUCCAGAGAAGCUUGUCUGCGAUAGGGUCACGGGAGUCUAGCUUCAAGGUCUGAGGCAGCUUUUUAUUGCCGCCUGGAAAGAGAACAAGCAUCCGGCGGGCUGAGAAAGCAGAACCAAGAACGGAAGGGGGCUUCUCUUGGCCAAGCCCUUCCCGGGCCGUGGUUGAGCUAGAGCUCCCUGGCUGUGUUCACCCUGCUGGCCGGACUCUCCUGCUUUGGGGGAGCCACGCUGGUGUUCCCAAAGCUCAGGCUGGUGACUUAGCGUUAGUCACUCCAUUCUGGGAUGGUCCAGCGCCGCAGCCUGCCUCCCGUAGACCGCCGCCAGGUCUAAGCUGAGCACAGCUUGCUGGCAGGGCCUCUCCCAGCAGCUUUCUGCCCACCGAGGCAGGUAGACUUGUGAUCAGCCGAGCUCCAACCUGGCUGGGAAGGCAGGAUCUGGGAACCCUCGCCUUACCUGGCAUAUUUUACACACACAGACACACUUUUGCACCGCCUUCAGCGGGUGAUAUAUGCCAAUCUAACAGCUCAGUUUCCUGCUGUUUAAAAAGAAAUCACCUAAAAAAGCCUGGCGCGCUACCCCGGCCCCACCGGCACAGCGUCACUCACUGCCCAUGCGCCGUGACUGCGUGUUACUCUCCCAGCGGGCACCCUGCCUCCCGAGUCUUGCACCUGCACCUGCACCCAUACUGGAGUCUGGAACAGCUGAGGUCCUAGCCAGGAGCCCUGCCCAAGACACUGCGACUCACCUCACUUCAAAGCAAGGCCUGGCCUUCUGAACGGCAGCCACCAUAGCCUGACAGCGUGGCCCUGCCAUGCAGCCCGCACUGACGAAGGCGGAAAUGGGCCCACGUACCCGCUUGUCAUGGCCCAGUGUGUCCCAGGCCUUUGGAGACCUCAGGAAACCCCCGGCAGCUUCCUGAGGCUUUGAUGUGCCUCAUAACAAAUGCCCGUGGGCCCCACAUUCGGGUUCAAAGUUGAGCGGUCCUUUUUAAUUGGAGCAAAAGCCUCUUUGCAGAGGAAGUCGGCAGGAACCACACCACAGGGUCUUUGAGCACAGCCAACAGCCGUGGAGCUGCAGACAGGCACACUGGCGAUGCUGGCCCCACAGCGAGCGUGCAGAUGUGUCUAUAAAGCAGGAAUUCCGCUUGUGA